ACCCCCUUAACUGAUUUCUCUUAUAAAAUCAUAACCCUAUUAAAAAAAGAGGUAAACAUUAGUUUAGAAACAUAUUUUUAUUCAGAAAACCUUAUGUUCUAAUAUCAUACUAAACUUUCAAUUCGUGUUGUGAAAUAUAUGCGAUAAAAUAAAAAUAUAAAUAAAUAUAAUAUAAUAUAAAGUAAUGAAAUCAAAGUAUAAGACAUUUUUACUCAAUAUAAAGUAUAAACAAUGAUAUAUUAAUUACAAAGCAGUCAGAACAAAGUCUAAGAUUAGA
rnacentral:lncRNA from 1 species